UACGGGGGGAGCAAGCGUUGUUCGGAUUUACUGGGCGUAAAGGGCGCGUAGGCGGCCAGCACAAGUCAGUUGUGAAAUCUCCGAGCUUAACUCGGAACGGUCAACUGAUACUGUGCGGCUAGAGUGCGGAAGGGGCAACUGGAAUUCUUGGUGUAGCGGUGAAAUGCGUAGAUAUCUGGAGGAACACCGGUGGCGAAGGCGGCAUCCUGGACCAAUUCUGACGCUGAGGAGCGAAAGCCAGGGGAGCAAACGGG
rnacentral:rRNA from 1 species